AUGCUCACUUCAUAUGCACAAAUACUAAAAUUGGAAUGAUACAGAGAAGAUUAGCAUGGCUCCUGUGCAAAGAUGACAUGCAAAUUUGUGAAGCAUUCAGUUUUUUU
rnacentral:snRNA from 1 species